GAUGAACGCUGGCGGCGUGCCUAAUACAUGCAAGUCGAGCGAACGGACGAGAAGCUUGCUUUUCUGAUGUUAGCGGCGGACGGGUGAGUAACACGUGGAUAACCUACCUAUAAGACUGGGAUAACUUCGGGAAACCGGAGCUAAUACCGGAUAAUAUUUUGAACCGCAUGGUUCAAAAGUGAAAGACGGUCUUGCUGUCACUUAUAGAUGGAUCCGCGCUGCAUUAGCUAGUUGGUAAGGUAACGGCUUACCAAGGCAACGAUGCAUGGCCGACCUGAGAGGGUGAUCGGCCACACUGGAACUGAGACACGGUCCAGACUCCUACGGGAGGCAGCAGUAGGGAAUCUUCCGCAAUGGGCGAAAGCCUGACGGAGCAACGCCGCGUGAGUGAUGAAGGUCUUCGGAUCGUAAAACUCUGUUAUUAGGGAAGAACAUAUGUGUAAGUAACUGUGCACAUUUUGACGGUACCUAAUCAGAAAGCCACGGCUAACUACGUG
rnacentral:rRNA from 1 species